UACAGAGGUCUCAAGCGUUGUUCGGAUUCAUUGGGCGUAAAGGGUGCGUAGGCGGCGCGGUAAGUCGGGUGUGAAAUUUCGAGGCUUAACUUCGAAACUGCAUUCGAUACUGCCGUGCUUGAGGACUGGAGAGGAGACUGGAAUUUACGGUGUAGCGGUGAAAUGCGCAGAUAUCAGGAAGAACACCCGUGGCGAAGGCGGUUCUCUGGGACGGUACUGACGCUGGAGACGCGAAAGCGUGGGGAGCGAACAGG
rnacentral:rRNA from 1 species